GUGGCACAGGUUGGGAUGGGGUGCCAGGUGCGGUGGCACAGGUUGGGAUGGGAUCCCAGGUGCAGUGGCACAGGUUGGGAUGGGGUGCCAGGUGCAGUGGCACAGGCUGGGAUGGGAUCCCAGGAGCGGUGGCACAGGUUGGGAUGGGAUCCCAGGAGCGGUGGCACAGGCUGGGAUGGGUUCCCAGGUGCGGUGGCACAGGUUGGGAUGGGUUCCCAGGUGCAGUGGCACAGGUUGGGAUGGGAUCCCAGGUGCGGUGGCACAGGUUGGGAUGGGGUGCCAGGUGCAGUGGCACAGGCUGGGAUGGGUUCCCAGGUGCAGUGGCACAGGCUGGGGA